CGGGCGACCGGCGCACGGGUGAGUAACGCGUAUGCAACUUACCUAUCAGAGGGGGAUAACCCGGCGAAAGUCGGACCAAUACCGCAUAAAGCAGGGAUCCCGCAUGGGAAUAUUUGCUAAAGAUUCAUCGCUGAUAGAUAGGCAUGCGUUCCAUUAGGCAGUUGGCGGGGUAACGGCCCACCAAACCGACGAUGGAUAGGGGUUCUGAGAGGAAGGUCCCCCCCAUUGGUACUGAGACACGGACCAA
rnacentral:rRNA from 1 species